rnacentral:rRNA from 1 species
GACGAACGCGUGGCGGCGUGCUUAACACAUGCAAGUCGAACGAUGAACCAGGGCUUUGCCCUGGGGAUUAGUGGCGAACGGGUGAGUAACACGUGGGCAACCUGCCCCAGACACCGGGGAUAACCUCUCGAAAGAGUGGCUAAUACCGGAUAUGACCACUUCGGGCAUCCGACGGUGGUGGAAAGGAUUCUGGUCUGGGAUGGGCCCGCGGCCUAUCAGCUAGUUGGUGGGGUAAUGGCCUACCAAGGCGACGACGGGUAGCCGGCCUGAGAGGGCGACCGGGCCACACUGGGACUGAGACACGGCCCAGACUCCUACGGGAGGCAGCAGUGGGGAAUAUUAGCGCAAUGGGCGAAAGGCCUGACGCAGCGACGCCGCGUGAGGGACGAAGGUCUUCGGAUUGUAAACCUCUUUCAGCAGGGACGAAGCGAAAGUGACUGUACCUGCAGAAGAAGCAACCGGCUAAC